CCGGCUCUGCAGGGUAGGGCGCAUGCGCUAUCACCUGAUUGCCACGCGCGCCGCCCCCAUAAGUAAGUGCGGGGGGGGGGGGGAAUGGUAGUGUCUGGUAUAUGACACCACCGCCCCCUCCCCUGUGUGUCUUGUGUGCGCUGCCUGCCAGCCUCACAGCUGCUGCCGCCAGGGAAGAAUGCCCCCCGCCCGCCCGCCAGUGCAGCCCCACUGCCUUGCUACAGCAAAACCAAUAAAUACCAUCUAUACAAAUACCUGCAUCGUGAACGUCUUCAAUACGGCUGACAUUACUACUGCUUCCUGUAUUCAAGUCAAUGCAGCAUGAUUGAGGAGGUGGGUCACCACUAACUGUCUCUCUGGCUUCAAAAGUCCACCCUGUGUUAAUCUCCCUAUAUAAUAAUGCAAGUUAUGCAAAUGGAUGGACAGCUUUCCUACCAAAGCAUAUCACCAUGGACAUGCAGCAACAAAUGCAUUUGCUGGUGAGGUGGGAGCUGGUUCUUUUGUUGUUGUUGCUAAAAGAUCCCCCGCUGUAAAAUGGGUUCAACCUCAGAGUGUUAUAAGGACAAAAGAUGUUGAAAAAUCAUGAGGUAGUCAAGUACUAAUGAAAUGGGAGCCAUAUAAGUUCAUCAGAAAGACAGGGCACAGGAAUCCUGCCCAAGCCUAUCCAUACAGGACACAGCCAAAAAACUGAUGUUAUUACUCCUUGAGUACAAGGAUUGGUGUGACUGGCUAGCACUCCUGGCAGCAAUCCAUGACCACUACCUGGUGGGGCCAGGUGAUUUGGCCAAAUCACCCACACGUGACUUACCAGCAUCUGCAGAGAGGAAACACGUGCUCCACUUUUCAACAGAUGUAAGGCAGUGGCUCUCAAUCAAGGAUGCAGAGAAAGAGGAAAAUACUGGAGAUGGUAACACACUGGUAAAACAGCUCUCUAAAUAAAAUUAAGCUUGAGAUUUUUGUUUCCCAUUAAGCUGGAUAACUUGAAUCCAUGUUUUCGGUGGUGGUGGUGACCUUCCUUUUCCUAACCCCAGGUAUCAAAGCAUGGUUGUCUCUUGGUGCACCUUGACCUUCUGGAAGGUUGAUCCUGAUGUUGCUCACUGUUUUUAUUCUGAGCCUUCACAUUUUUCCGCUAUGAACUCUGACCCCCACAAACCCAUUAUGGCCUUGUAAGACCGCCACGAACACAGUGCUGGACUUCGGAUGUCAGAGACCGGAAAACAACUAAACUUUUGCCAGUGAAGCAUUGGUGGGAUAAAAAACUACUGUUGUUCUUGCCACUGAAGUUCAAAGGCCAGAUUCAGAUCUCAUUUACAUGACUGUAAUUCCACUGAAACCUAAAUGCUUCAGAUCAGCAAUACGCUUGAUCUCAAUAGAUUCCUGUAUCAAGAGACACGUCAGGUCUAUAUGUGCAUCUUAUGAAGUACUCUACUGCCCUGUUGACUCAUAAUAUACCCAAUUUAAAAUAAAAUCUGUAUCAAAAUUGGUAAGGUACGUGAGGAGAUUGUGAAUUAUAGGAUUUUAUUGUUAACCAGUUUUGUGGUUCUUGUUAACUGGAUUGCCACUUGGAUUGUGAUCUUUUUAGGCAUGCUUUUAACAGAUAAUCAUGGGACCAGCAUACCACAUAUAUAAAAGUACAGUUUCUCACAUCACAUUCCCAAUCUCAUCUGGAAAUUGUGACUUAGUGGGAGGUCUGUUUUUGACUGAAGUACUCAAACAUAUUUGGCUGCAUAAAGGAAUUCCAAGGAUCAUUAACAUAUCUCAAGGGUUGGACAAAACAGAUGUUUAUAACGCUAUGUACCCGUUGUUCAGCUUCUUCUAUCUGUAGAUUGUUCAACACUGUAAAAAGCAAAAGUUAUUUCCAGUCUUAGGUGGAAAAACUGCACCCUUCUCUGAUCUAGAAUCAGCAAGGGAGAUGGCUGUUUAUUGGUACACACUGAGUACAUAUCUGCUAAAGGUUCUAGUACAAAUAUCUGAACCUGAGAACUCUGGAGAUUUAUCCUAAAUCUUCAUAUAGAAUUUUGUUUCCAUUAAAAAUCUUGUUAAUUUCUGACCCCAAUAAUCCUGCCUUCAUAUGUUUCCUAUUUCAAAUGAAACUCUGCUAAUUUGCCACAGAUUAAUGCUCUUAUUUCAUUCUUAGCAUGAAUAUAUUUUGUUUCGUAAAUAUUAAGAUGCCAAAUGAUUGUUCGUGUUUGUAAAGAACAUGGUUAAUCCAAAAUGUGUGUGAGGAGGUGAAGCCUAUGUCAGGUCUAUGUCAUGGAUGUCAGUAAAAUGAAAGACGAGACGUAUACAUCCUAUUCAGACAGCAUCCCACUACUGCAAAGCAAACACGUACCAUGCAUAUCAUCAAAUUUUGCAGCAUCUGCUACAGUCUUUUGCACUCUGACCCCUUAUUGGUAGCAAACAUGACUUGAUUAGGUGAUUUAAGAGUCUCUGAAAAUAUUUUCAUAUGACUGGUAGAAUCCAUUGUGGAAUGUAAUUUUGGAUUAUUCAUUGCUACCCUCGUCUUACAGCAGAAGCAAACAUUCUUGUUUUAAAGCUGUUCCUAAUUAGGAUGACUAACAAAAUUACAAGGGAUCUCUAGCUAGAGGUGGCUGAAAUUUUACAGACAAAUAGUUUGACAAAAAAUGCUCAAGGUUUAGGUUAGGUAGACUCAAAACUGUGUGUGAAUUUGACGCACACAUUUUUCGCCAUUCACAAACUGGCCAAAGAGACUGCAGUGAUGUUGCCACCCUCUACCCCUCAUUUAUAUAACUUUUAGCCCAACAGUUCAGGCCCUUACCUGGCGUGAGAAACACAGGUUUGAAUCCUUUCUCUGGAACAGACUUGGAAUGGACUUUUUUGAUUCACUGAAAAUUCUUUUUUUUAAGAUUCUGAUUUUUUUUUUUCCUUCAUCAUUGCCACCCAACCAAAAAAUCAGGUAUUUACCCAGCUCUAUCCCUAUCAAAGUAUAGAAGCCAGAGUGAACAAAAUACACCCAACAUAGCCUCAGAGUUGGCCACUGAUUUGAAAAGUGAUCAUGUGUUUCUGGAGUGUCACUCAGUAAGCCUCUCUCACAUCCAGAUACCCACAUUAGAAUAAUUGGGAAUAAGGAGAAAUUUUUGCAGCCAUGACCACAUGUAAAAAUCUGUUUGGGAAAUUAUUAUGCUUAACUUUUGAUUAUCCCAAAUAAAUAUUCACAUUUUAAUGUGAGUGUCAAUGAGAGCAUGUUUGGGUAUGACUUAAUCAUCUGAAAAACAGAACGGUUCAUUUUUUGCAGCUUUGUUCAAGGAUAAUUAAGUAUGCAACAUUUAUAAUUAUUAAGGGCUAGUGAUUUUGUCAUAUUAGUUUCUAUGUCCCAGUCAGGUAAUGAUGAAAAUGACAAAAGUCACAAAUGCGCGUGUGUGUGUGUGUGUGUGCGCGCGCACGCGUGCGCAUGUACAAUGUAUAUUUGUGAGGUUUUUUGUAUAUAAUUUAUACACACGUUAAUGAUUGUACAAAUGAUUUAACACCAUUAAAAGAAUUAAAGCAUUAUGCUAACAUGUAUUAAACAAAAUAGGUACAACAAAAUGAAAAUGCACCCACAUUUUCCCUGCUGUUGAAAAAUGUUUUAAAAUGAGGUACUGUACCUUUAAAUGGCUAGGCAAUGUA